rnacentral:lncRNA from 1 species
CUGAGUCAUCACCUGGUUUGUUUGACAUACACUUCCUUCCAUAAAUUGGGAAUGGCAAGCGGCACAGUGUUCUGGGCUUGCCUGGGAGAAGGAGCUGUUGCAGUCUUGCACGAUCAAAAUAGGGCCUUUAGGUUUGAAGGAUGAGGUUGAGCCCAUAUUUUGACUCCAAAUGUCGGGGGAGGGGAGAAGAAGUCGACAGAUCCAAACAAGGAACAUUUGAAUGAAAUGCAGAUAACUCUUUAGAAAACUUUUGUAGGAAAAGCGCCUCGUGUGAUCUGGAACAAAGACGUUUUAUAAUCAGAUUUAUCAAGCUGCGAAGAGGGAGUUUUAGUGAACGGAAGCAGCAGCAUUCUGUCACCAGGAAAUACUCCUUUAUCCAGAAUUGGUAAGUGAAAAGUGGCAUUGCUCCCUAAUAGAUAUCAUAUGCGUGUGUGGGAAUUGAAAAAUUGUUCACAGACCCCUAACAACUGUGUUGAACAGAGAACACAUAAACAGUGAGGAGUUCUAAAAAAGAGCAGCACGAGAAUACCGCAUAAAGACUGAGAAGAAGCCAGGUAAUUAACAAAAAUGAGCUGAGUGCUAUCAGUUUAGCUAAACAUAUGUAAUACAGCUAGAUUUGGUUGUUUUAUUUUUUCUUGUUAGUGGAGGAGAAACAUAAAAUCAGAAUGGGCUGUUUAGUAGAAUUGCGACAUUAACUUUCCAUGGAUGUAGAUUUCCAUUUAGUCUGAAUAGCAUGUAUGAAAUUUGAAGGGAUGCUUUCAGAAUUAGUCUACUUGCCCUCCUUUCCUUUCCUCUGCAUUAAGAUGUCAAGUAUUUAGUUAGAACCUUACAAGAUGAAAGUUGUACAAAAUGAAAGUUCAAGUAAUGCGUCGGAAACACCUCUCCUGAUUGGGAAGGGUAGAUUACAAUGGCAAUAGAUUUUUGUUUUUUGUUUCUUACAUUUGUGUCACGAAUUUUAAGUUUGUUCUAUUGGAUUACAUUAGUACAGCAAAAGGGGGGUUAUUUCUAUCUAUAUGGUUCAUGACAUUUUGAGAGGUCGUGAUUAGUAGUUCUUACUGGUUUCGUAUGCGUGUUCCUGCCUGUUGAAUUCAGUUUUCUAAUCUUGAAUCUGAGCUGCCUUUAUGUUAAAGGGUUCUAGAAAAAGACAAUAAAGCUUUGAAUACCCGUGUUAUAUACAACAGGUUCCUGUUCAUGAUGUAUAAGGUAACGCAAUUUUAUUUUAGGCAUGAAUGUCUAAUUUCUUGAUUUGGCUUCUUAAGAAUAUACUGAAAAGGUUGAAUAGAAUAAGAAAAAGAACAUUAGAAAAGAAUGGUGGGUGACUGCCUGAUUUUACUAGUUUCUUAUUGGUCAAUAGAAGUAAUCAUGUGAUGUCUACUUAUAGAAGCAAAUGGAAAAAAUUUUUCUUCUUUAACUGCUAACAAGUAUAUAGGCAAUUUUAGCAAUCUUCAUUUAUUAAUUUGAAUAUAUAAUUAUAACUGUUAUUAACAGAAUAAGUUUUGGGUAAUAUAGGAAAUAAUAAUUAUUUCUUUCUUUUUAAGCCAAAUUGGAAGUUGAAUCUACUUUUGGUUCCUGUUCUGUUACUUUCAAAAUCUUAAAAUCCUUAACUCAAAAGGGAAAAUGUAUAAUAAAACAGGAUAGCAGUGCUGAAAUUUCUCUCUCUUAGCAGUGGAGUGGGAUGAGGGUGGGGGAGGGAGAUGAAUCUAGUGAGAUAUAUUAAUUGUUUUUUCCCCCUCUUGUAUACUUGGAUAACUUUUGAGAUCAGUUUUCUCAGACUAGCAGCUCUCAAGACUUUUGCAUAAGUAUUUAUUCUUAAAGAAAUAGAAAGACAAGAUAAGCACGGCUCUUAAGGGCAGGUCCUCCAAUAAGUCAGGAAACGGGUGAUCCAAACUUGUGAACAUGACAAGUCAAUUUGACUUAAUUAAGGAAUGGCAUUAGUUUUCUUGAAGCACAUGAAUUUAUAGGUUUUUAGAGUCUUGAAGACAGAAAAAUGGCAACAAAGCAUUAAGGUAUUUACAGAUAAUUUAUAUUCAACUGCUAGCUUAUGUUUUCAACUCUGUAUUUCAUGUAAGUAAAUACUUGGGGAGAACAUGAUGAUUUAAUAAUCUGGAUAAAUACUGCCGUGCCUGUUGGAAAAAAGCCUCUAAUUUUUAGGUUUUCCUCAUCCAUUUAAAAUCCAUUGUUUUGAAUGACAAAAUGUGAUAGAAACAGGUUGGAACAGUAAAUGCUAGAAAGUAUAUCCCAGAAGAAUUAACUGAGAACUUCAUGUUUUCAAUUCUAUUUGCCGUUCUCUGUUCUCAAUUUGUUAAUUUUUAAAAGUACAUCGAAAGUGAGUAGCAUUGCUUGCUCUGAAUUCUCCUCUGGGGUCAUUGAGAGUAUUCACAUUUUCGUAUACCCUGUUAAAAGAUAUUAAUGCCAUGCAUAUGCCUUUGUCUUUGUGGGUGUGUAAAACAACAAACUGAAGGGAUCUGGUCAAGAGACAGACCUCAAAAUAAUUUCUCUGAAAUAGUGUUUGAAUUUGCAUGUUCGGGAACGUAAAUGCUUUCCCUUUGGGCUUGUUUCUUAAGUUUUUGGUGUAGUAUACAGUUUUACCCAAUUAAAUUUUUCUUUUGAGGUCUGUAUAUGUAUGGGUGUCUAUAUUUGAUUUGAAGGGGGAGUUUUAAUCAUUAGUGAAACAAGUGGCUGUUUGUUAGAACCCAGAUAAGCCUCAUAGUGUUGUUCCUAUGACAACUGAGUAGUUGGGUGUUGAAAUGUAGCUUUAAGUUCUUGGUUUGGAAAUGUCAUUCAGACCUCCCACUAUAGUCUCAUUGAGUAGGAGGAUAAUGAGAAGGGGAAAAACCAUGAAGCAACAUAAGUAUCUCCGUUCGUUUCAUGUCUUCCUGACUUGUCUUUGUGUACAGGAUCGCCAUGGGAGUGGUAAACAUAGGUCUUGAACAAAGCAAUACUUCAAUUAAAAAAAUACAUGGAAAGGGUCAGAAAAGUUGGGGAAGAUAAAUAACAACACAUGGGGGCAAUAAAGAGGCAAGAGAAAUAGGCUUCCAUGGGUUUCUGCAAAUCCUUUAUCCAGUGCUGACCAGCAGUGAGAACAUCUUGAACCAGUUAUUGUAUAGCUCUUCAAGAGCUGUGAAUUUCCUUAAAAUGCAAUGUGGAGAAAAUUCCUUUGGUAGCAGGAUGGUUUACCACUUUGGCAUAACGUUUAUUCAUCUCCCCCAGGCAGACUACAGAGGAUACUGUGUUCUUUUAAGGCACAUGUUUUUAAACCAGUUGUUCAUUUGUCAUUUAAUAGCUUUUGUCUUUUUUCUAUGGGAAAGACAAGGUUGUACUAUUAAAAUAGUGAUAAAAUUUAAGUAUUUUAUUCUAUAUUCAAAAAGUGCUUUUGAAAAGUACUUAGAAAAAGAUUGUUUGAGACCUGUUGUUUGUGGAAAUGUCUGUCAAUGGAGAAUCUAUGGAGCACUGUAUUUGAGGAGAGGGAUUGUUCAGACUAAUAUUUGGCAUAGCUUAAUUAUGCAGUUGUUGAUUUUCCAUGUCUGAAGGUCUUCCUAUUUCCUACUCCUAAAUAGUUUUAACUAUUUAUUUGGUUGCUAGAACCUCCUGAAGUUAGAAAGAAAAAGAUUUCAGUGGGGUUAGUCUCUUAAUAAAUAUAUGCCCACCAUCUCUUCUGUAAUCCAAAAAGCUCUGAAAAUCAAAAGAUUUUCAUGUAACAAAUUUGGCAGCAAAUCCUGACCUGAACUGAUGUGAAGCUAAUGAUAGUCUUUGUUUAGCUCGCUCAGAAUGAAUCUUUGUAUGUUUUACUGUAGAAGUAUUAAUGUGUUUGAUCACGGAGUAUUGUUCCAGACUCCCCUAGAGGUUUAUAUACUAUAUUGAAUAGUCAACCUAUUACCUUUAUAAAAUAAUAAUAAUAAUCAAUCUGAGUGUCAGGUAAGCAUUUGUGGACCCAUAAUUACUGACAUACAUUGAGUUCAUAUUAUAUGCCGGGUACCAUUCUAAAUGAAUCACUGGCAUCUAAGAACAGUGUCUGGCACAUAGUAGGUACUUAGUAGACACGUUUUGGUAGGAACUGCUUUACACUUAUUAAAUUCUUU